rnacentral:piRNA from 1 species
UGUGAAGACGAGACUAGAGGGAGUGGGGU